AAGAUAAGACUAUAUAUACAGGGAUCAUUUCUAUAGCAGCGAACUAGGAAAUGUGAUUUGGACGUGCUGUGUCUCUCUAAUCACGAUGAUGAGUUUUGAUGUACUCUUCUGAGCGUGAAUCAGUAUGAUGUUGGCUAAUGAUCCAUUGAUGAACGUUCUCUACUGCUUAUGAAGUCUGAGAGGAAGAGCACACGACUAGAGGGAU
ensembl:snoRNA U3 Small nucleolar RNA U3